rnacentral:lncRNA from 1 species
CACGGGUGUGCUCAAAGUCCCAACUAGAUUUCCAUUAGAACUGUUCCUUAGCCUUCUGUUCUAACUUGUCUCCAUAGGAGCUCAAAUCUAUGUUUGUUUGUUUUUUAAUUUUAGGUACCAGGGAUUGAACUCGGGUCCUUGUGCUUGCGAAGCAGGCGGCAAAACUGAGCUAAAUCCCGUCACCGGAGUUCAAAUCUAACCUACAGCCUGCAGGGGGCAGGAGCCAGCCAAAAAACUCUUCAAGCACAGUGCUCCUGUGGCUACAGCAAGUUAGGUACAUGUGAUAAAUCAGGAGCUCUUCACACUUAAUUGAAGAUGCAGCUUUCUAAAACAGAUCGCCAGCAGCCGCGGCUCCCUGAGAAAGAAAGAAAGAGACAAAAUCAUCUUUCCCCUGAGAAUUGGCUUUUUAAUGAAAAGGACAGAAAAGAACGAAUAUGCCCAAUGCCGAGACUGGAUUGUGCGGGACCCCGGGCUAUUCAGAUCUAGGAGAUGGCGUGCCAAAGCUGGCUGGGGAAAGGAGCCCGACCUGUCAGUCACCAUACCCCGGGUGACUCGAGAACACGCAUGAAGUUCCCACCAGCUCCCGAGCAGUGCGGACUGCGGGAAAAGGACUGGCUAUCACCGAAAGCCUAUCGUGCGUGAGUUUGCAGAGCAGCCCGGCCGUGUCUGAAAGCGGCGUGUGCUUCUUAUUUUGGCUUGUACCUUUUCUCUUUGUUUGGCCCAAGCUUGCUCUGCAGAGCUGGUUUCACGCCACCCUUUUCAAAUUAGCUCUUUUGCACAGUUAUUGGUUUGCCUCAUCCAGUCCUUUUGAUUGGCGAGCUAUUUCUAAAGAAAGCACCCUCUGAGCCUUCCAAGCCCCGCCGUCUCAGCGGGUGGCGCUCACCCAACGCUAAGGUGACCCAGAGGCAAAGCUGCCAGUCCAGUGAGGCAGCGCCACAUUCGGUGAGCCCAGGCUCUUCUGAGAAAACAACAAAGCCACACUUCGCAGAGUGAAGACAGUUUUAGAGAGCCCACAGACCCCUCCGAAGCCCAUGCCUGGUCCCUGGAUUAAGAUCACUGCCAAAGGUAGCCCCGAGACCUUCCUGAGCGAACCAAGAACCUCCUCCAGGGAACGCAGCGGGUUCUUCUGACAGCGCGACACCAUCCCAUGGUUGCAGGUGCCCUCUCGACCUUAUAUUGUCCUAGACUCUUGUCACCAAGAAACAGCUCCAAAGAGCGCUGGGCUCCAGGGCCCUCUCACACUGCUGCUUCUUGGCCUCUCCACUCAGUCUUCUGAGUGGCAGAGUUGCACCUUAGGUCAUCUGAAAUGAUUUCAUUUGUGCACAGCAGGUGACGGGCAGACAAUCGCCGAGCCCAUGGCGGUAGCCGGUGCAGGCCAGCGGUCCAUGCCAAGGAGAAUGCUGAAGCUGACCCCUCUCCGACGACUGAGGCGCCCCCGCUGAAAGGAGUUUGAAUUAUAGCC